GUGGGAAACGAAGUGGGAAGGCUAAAACAGUCAGGAUGUUGGCUUAGAAGCAGCCAUCAUUUAAAGAAAGCGUAAUAGCUCACUGAUCGAGUCGUCCUGCGCGGAAGAUGUAACGGGGCUAAGCCAGUUACCGAAGCUGCGGAUUUGCAAUUUAUUGCAAGUGGUAGGAGAGCGUUCUGUAAGCCUGUGAAGGUGCCUGGUAACGGGUGCUGGAGGUAUCAGAAGUGCGAAUGCUGACAUGAGUAGCGUUAAAGGGGGUGAAAAGCCCCCUCGCCGUAAGCGCAAGGUUUCCUACGCAACGUUCAUCGGCGUAGGGUGAGUCGGCCCCUAAGGCGAGGCAGAGAUGCGUAGCUGAUGGGAAACAGGUCAAUAUUCCUGUACCGAUGUGUAGUGCGAUGUGGGGACGGAGAAGGUUAGCUCAGCCAACUGUUGGAUAUGUUGGUUCAAGCCUGUAGUCGUGCCUGGUAGGCAAAUCCGCCGGGCUUAGAUGAGGGGUGAUAACGAGUCUGCUUGCAGACGAAGUGAGUGAUACCCUGCUUCCAGGAAAAGCCACUAAGCUUCAGCUACACACGACCGUACCGCAAACCGACACUGGUGCGCGAGAUGAGUAUUCUAAGGCGCUUGAGAG
rnacentral:rRNA from 1 species